UACGGGGGGGGGCAAGCGUUGUUCGGAAUUACUGGGCGUAAAGGGCUCGUAGGCGGCCAACUUAAGUCAGACGUGAAAUCCCCAGGCUCAACCUGGGGAACUGCGUCUGAUACUGGAUGGCUUGAAUCCGGGAGAGGGAUGCAGAAUUCCAGGUGUAGCGGUGAAAUGCGUAGAUAUCUGGAGGAACACCGGUGGCGAAGGCGGCAUCCUGGACCGGUAUUGACGCUGAGGCGCGAAAGCUAGGGGAGCAAACGGGG
rnacentral:rRNA from 1 species